rnacentral:rRNA from 1 species
UACGUAGGGUGCGAGCGUUAAUCGGAAUUACUGGGCGUAAAGCGUGCGCAGGCGGUGAUGUAAGACAGAUGUGAAAUCCCCGGGCUUAACCUGGGAACUGCAUUUGAGACUGCAUAGCUAGGGUGCGGAAGAGGGAAGCGGAAUUUCCGGUGUAGCGGUGAAAUGCGUAGAUAUCGGAAGGAACAUCAGUGGCGAAAGCGGCUUCCUGGUCCAGCACCGACGUUCAGGCACGAAAGCGUGGGGAGCAAACAGG